rnacentral:rRNA from 1 species
GCUCAACCGAGGAAGUGCUUCGAAAACUGGUAAACUUGAGUGCAGAAGAGGAAAGUGGAACUCCAUGUGUAGCGGUGGAAUGCGUAGAUAUAUGGAAGAACACCAGUGGCGAAGGCGGCUUUCUGGUCUGUAACUGACGCUGAGAUUCGAAAGCAUGGGUAGCAAACAGGAUUAGAUACCCUGGUAGUCCAUGCCGUAAACGAUGAGUGCUAAGUGUUGGAGGGUUUCCGCCCUUCAGUGCUACAGCUAACGCAUUAAGCACUUCGCCUGGGGAGUACGAUCGCAAGAUUGAAACUCAAAGGAAUUGACAGGGGCCCGCACAAGCGGUGGAGCAUGUGGUUUAAUUCGAAGCAACGCGAAGAACCUUACCAGGUCUUGACAUACCAUGAAAAGCUAAGAGAUUAGUCUUUCCCUUCGGGGACAUGGAUACAGGUGGUGCAUGGUUGUCGUCAGCUCGUGUCGUGAGAUGUCGGGUUAAGUCCCGCAACGAGCGCAACCCUUAUUAUCAGUUGCCAGCAUUCAGUUGGGCACUCUGGUGAGACUGCCGGUGACAAACCGGAGGAAGGUGGGGACGACGUCAAAUCAUCAUGCCCCUUAUGACCUGGGCUACACACGUGCUACAAUGGUCGGUACAACG